rnacentral:rRNA from 1 species
CGGCGAGUCUCGAGAGAGUUUCGAGUCCUCGGCGUACACGGACGAACGCUGGCGGCGCGCCUAACACAUGCAAGUCGAACGGGACGUAUGCGAGAUGAAGUUUUCGGAUGGAAUUUGUAUAGUUUAGUGGCGGACGGGUGAGUAACACGUGAGCAACCUGCCUUCGAGAGGGGAUAACGGCUGAAACGGUCGCUAAUACCGCAUAACAUACGGAGGGACAUCCCUUUUGUAUCAAAGAUUUAUCGCUCGAAGAUGGGCUCGCGUCCGAUUAGGUAGUUGGUGAGGUAACGGCCCACCAAGCCGACGAUCGGUAGCCGGACUGAGAGGUUGAACGGCCACAUUGGGACUGAGACACGGCCCAGACUCUACGGGAGGCAGCAGUGGGGGAUAUUGCACAAUGGGGGAAACCCUGAUGCAGCGACGCCGCGUGUAGGAAGACGGUCCUCUGGAUUGUAAACUACUGUCCCCAGGGGCGAAGAUGACGGUACCUGGGGAGGAAGCUCCGGCUAACUACGUG